rnacentral:misc_RNA from 1 species
GAUGAAGAACGCAGCGAAAUGCGAUAAGUAAUGUGAAUUGCAGAAUUCAGUGAAUCAUCGAAUCUUUGAACGCACAUUGCGCCCGCCAGUAUUCUGGCGGGCAUGCCUGUUCGUGCGUCAUUACAACCCUCAGGCCCCCGGGCCUGGCGUUGGGGAUCGGCGAGGCGCCCCCCGCGGGCACGCGCCGUCCCCCAAAUACAGUGGCGGUCCCGCCGCAGCUUCCAUUGCGUAGUAGCUAACACCUCGCAACUGGAGAGCGGCGCGGCCAUGCCGUAAAACACCCAACUUCUGAAUGUUGACCUCGAAUCAGGUAGGAAUACCCGCUGAACUUAAGCAUAUCAAUAAGCGGAGGA